AUAAUGCAAGUCGAGCGGACAGAUGGGAGCUUGCUCCCUGAUGUUAGCGGCGGACGGGUGAGUAACACGUGGGUAACCUGCCUGUAAGACUGGGAUAACUCCGGGAAACCGGGGCUAAUACCGGAUGGUUGUUUGAACCGCAUGGUUCAGACAUAAAAGGUGGCUUCGGCUACCACUUACAGAUGGACCCGCGGCGCAUUAGCUAGUUGGUGACGUAACGGCUCACCAAGGCGACGAUGCGUAGCCGACCUGAGAGGGUGAUCGGCCACACUGGGACUGAGACACGGCCCAGACACCUACGGGAGGCAGCAGUAGGGAAUCUUCCGCAAUGGACGAAAGUCUGACGGAGCAACGCCGCGUGAGUGAUGAAGGUUUUCGGAUCGUAAAGCUCUGUUGUUAGGGAAGAACAAGUGCCGUUCAAAUAGGGCGGCACCUUGACGGUACCUAACCAGAAAGCCACGGCUAACUACGUGCCAGCAGCCGCGGUAAUACGUAGGUGGCAAGCGUUGUCCGGAAUUAUUGGGCGUAAAGGGCUCGCAGGCGGUUUC
rnacentral:rRNA from 1 species